UGAUGAUAGUGAGGGCAAUUUCUGAGAAUACUUUUAAAUCUCUCCCAAGCUUGGUAGAGAUUCUCUCUUUCUUUCUAUCUAAAACUCAGAAUCUUGCAUUUCAAACA
rnacentral:snoRNA from 1 species